rnacentral:sRNA from 1 species
UACCACGAGCGUCUGUGAAUGGGGAACC